rnacentral:tRNA from 1 species
GGGCGUUUGGCACAGUGGUAGCGCGCACGCUUUGCAGUCGCUUGAUUGCGUGAGGUCCAGGGUUCAAACCCCUGAACGUCCA